AAGUGGGGGACCUUCGGGCCUCAUGCCAUCAGAUGUGCCCAGAUGGGAUUAGCUAGUAGGUGGGGUAACGGCUCACCUAGGCGACGAUCCCUAGCUGGUCUGAGAGGAUGACCAGCCACACUGGAACUGAGACACGGUCCAGACUCCUACGGGAGGCAGCAGUGGGGAAUAUUGCACAAUGGGCGCAAGCCUGAUGCAGCCAUGCCGCGUGUGUGAAGAAGGCCUUCGGGUUGUAAAGCACUUUCAGCGGGGAGGAAGGCGUUAAGGUUAAUAACCUUGGCGAUUGACGUUACCCGCAGAAGAAGCACCGGCUAACUCCGUGCCAGCAGCCGCGGUAAUACGGAGGGUGCAAGCGUUAAUCGGAAUUACUGGGCGUAAAGCGCACGCAGGCGGUCUGUCAAGUCGGAUGUGAAAUCCCCGGGCUCAACCUGGGAACUGCAUUCGAAACUGGCAGGCUAGAGUCUUGUAGAGGGGGGUAGAAUUCCAGGUGUAGCGGUGAAAUGCGUAGAGAUCUGGAGGAAUACCGGUGGCGAAGGCGGCCCCCUGGACAAAGACUGACGCUCAGGUGCGAAAGCGUGGGGAGCAAACAGGAUUAGAUACCCUGGUAGUCCACGCCGUAAACGAUGUCGAUUUGGAGGUUGUGCCCUUGAGGCGUGGCUUCCGGAGCUAACGCGUUAAAUCGACCGCCUGGGGAGUACGGCCGCAAGGUUAAAACUCAAAUGAAUUGACGGGGGCCCGCACAAGCGGUGGAGCAUGUGGUUUAAUUCGAUGCAACGCGAAGAACCUUACCUGGUCUUGACAUCCACAGAACUUUCCAGAGAUGGAUUGGUGCCUUCGGGAACUGUGAGACAGGUGCUGCAUGGCUGUCGUCAGCUCGUGUUGUGAAAUGUUGGGUUAAGUCCCGCAACGAGCGCAACCC
rnacentral:rRNA from 1 species